GGUUCAUUCAAAUUUCUUCCUUAUCAACUUUCGAUGUUUGGGUAGUGGCCAAACAUGGCUGCAACGGGUAACGGAGGGUUAGGGCUCGACCCCGGAGAAGGAGCCUGAGAAACGGCUACUACAUCCAAGGAAGGCAGCAGGCGCGCAAAUUACCCAAUCCCGACCGGGGAGGUAGUGACAAUAAAUACUGGAACAGGGCUCUUUUGGGUCUUGUAAUUGGAAUGAGUACAAUUUAAAUCCCUUAACGAGGAACAGUUGGAGGGCAAGUCUGGUGCCAGCAGCCCGGGUAAUUCCAGCUCCAAUAGCGUAUAUUAAAGUUGUUGUGGUUAAAAAGCUCGUAGUUG
rnacentral:rRNA from 1 species